ACCACUAGACGCUGCUGCACUGC
rnacentral:miRNA from 1 species